GAUGAACGCUGGCGGCGUGCCUAAUACAUGCAAGUCGAGCGAACGGACGCGACGCUUGCUUCACUGAUGUUAGCGGCGGACGGGUGAGUAACACGUGGAUAACCUUCCUAUACGACUGGGAUAACUUCGGGAAACUGGAGCUAAUACCGGAUAAUAUUUUGAACCGCAUGGUUCAAAAGUGAAAGACGGUCUUGCUGUCACUUCUAGCUGGCUCCGCGCUGGAUUAGCGAGUUGGUACGGUAACGGCUUACCAAGGCAACGAUGCAUAGCCGACCUGAGAGGGGGAUCCGCCACACUGGGGCUGGAAGACGGUCCUGAGACCGACGGAAGGCAGAGAUAGGGAAGCGUGCGCAAAGGGCGGAAGCCUGAAGGAUGGGCGCCGCGUUGAUGAAGAAGGGCUGCGUAUCGGAAGACGCUGUUAGGAUGGAAGACCAUAUGUGUAAGUAACGAAGCACAUCGUGACGGUACCUAGUCAGGAAGCCACGGCUAACUACGUG
rnacentral:rRNA from 1 species